UGGGGGAUAUUGCACAAUGGGCGAAAGCCUGAUGCAGCAACGCCGCGUGAGGGAAGACGGUCUUCGGAUUGUAAACCUUUAGCUUUGGGGAAGAAACAAAUGACGGUACCCAAAGGGGCAGCCACGGCUAACUACGUGCCAGCAGCCGCGGUAAUACGUAGGUGGCAAGCGUUGUCCGGAAUUACUGGGUGUAAAGGGAGCGCAGGCGGGGAGACAAGUCAGCUGUGAAAACUAUGGGCUUAACCCAUAGAUUGCAGUUGAAACUGUUUUUCUUGAGUGGAGUAGAGGUAGGCGGAAUUCCGAGUGUAGCGGUGAAAUGCGUAGAUAUUCGGAGGAACACCAGUGGCGAAGGCGGCCUACUGGGCUCUAACUGACGCUGAGGCUCGAAAGUGUGGGGAGCAAACA
rnacentral:rRNA from 1 species